CGGAGACAAUAUCUACUUAUAAUGUGAUAAUUACAAUACAUGGUCUAGCUAUGAUCUUUAUGUUCUUAAUGCCGGCUUUGUACGGAGGAUAUGGUAACUUCUUUGUACCAAUCUAUAUUGGUGGUUCGGAAGUCGUUUUCCCAAGAACUAACGCGAUCUCCUAUUUCCUAGUACCAUUAGUGAACUCAUUUGGUCUGAUCCUAAGUACGCAGUGAGCUAAAUAGAUACAAGGAACUUGACAAGCAUUACUAGAUUUAUAUAAACGAC
rnacentral:lncRNA from 1 species